rnacentral:lncRNA from 1 species
UCUUGCUGGUUGGUUGCUCAGGAGUUAGUGAGGGACCAUCAUUAUUUUUAGGCACAAGAGUCCAGGCCGAAGCAAACGAGAAGCGUGUAGACGGCCCAAGAUCCAUGUGUUGUGAAGCCUAUGAUGGACGACUUAUGCUCCCAGGUGUAUCAGGUGAUCGAGGUCCCACGCAACCUCUCAAAAUCCUAUAAAUCUCCUGUGGUGCUGCUCCAUGAUGCCA